AGAGUUUGAUCAUGGCUCAGAUUGAACGCUGGCGGCAGGCCUAACACAUGCAAGUCGAACGGUAACAGGAAGCAGCUUGCUGCUUUGCUGACGAGUGGCGGACGGGUGAGUAAUGUCUGGGAAACUGCCUGAUGGAGGGGGAUAACUACUGGAAACGGUAGCUAAUACCGCAUAAUGUCGCAAGACCAAAGAGGGGGACCUUCGGGCCUCUUGCCAUCGGAUGUGCCCAGAUGGGAUUAGCUAGUAGGUGGGGUAAAGGCUCACCUAGGCGACGAUCCCUAGCUGGUCUGAGAGGAUGACCAGCCACACUGGAACUGAGACACGGUCCAGACUCCUACGGGAGGCAGCAGUGGGGAAUAUUGCACAAUGGGCGCAAGCCUGAUGCAGCCAUGCCGCGUGUAUGAAGAAGGCCUUCGGGUUGUAAAGUACUUUCAGCGGGGAGGAAGGGAGUAAAGUUAAUACCUUUGCUCAUUGACGUUACCCGCAGAAGAAGCACCGGCUAACUCCGUGCCAGCAGCCGCGGUAAUACGGAGGGUGCAAGCGUUAAUCGGAAUUACUGGGCGUAAAGCGCACGCAGGCGGUUUGUUAAGUCAGAUGUGAAAUCCCCGGGCUCAACCUGGGAACUGCAUCUGAUACUGGCAAGCUUGAGUCUCGUAGAGGGGGGUAGAAUUCCAGGUGUAGCGGUGAAAUGCGUAGAGAUCUGGAGGAAUACCGGUGGCGAAGGCGGCCCCCUGGACGAAGACUGACGCUCAGGUGCGAAAGCGUGGGGAGCAAACAGGAUUAGAUACCCUGGUAGUCCACGCCGUAAACGAUGUCGACUUGGAGGUUGUGCCCUUGAGGCGUGGCUUCCGGAGCUAACGCGUUAAGUCGACCGCCUGGGGAGUACGGCCGCAAGGUUAAAACUCAAAUGAAUUGACGGGGGCCCGCACAAGCGGUGGAGCAUGUGGUUUAAUUCGAUGCAACGCGAAGAACCUUACCUGGUCUUGACAUCCACGGAAGUUUUCAGAGAUGAGAAUGUGCCUUCGGGAACCGUGAGACAGGUGCUGCAUGGCUGUCGUCAGCUCGUGUUGUGAAAUGUUGGGUUAAGUCCCGCAACGAGCGCAACCCUUAUCCUUUGUUGCCAGCGGUCCGGCCGGGAACUCAAAGGAGACUGCCAGUGAUAAACUGGAGGAAGGUGGGGAUGACGUCAAGUCAUCAUGGCCCUUACGACCAGGGCUACACACGUGCUACAAUGGCGCAUACAAAGAGAAGCGACCUCGCGAGAGCAAGCGGACCUCAUAAAGUGCGUCGUAGUCCGGAUUGGAGUCUGCAACUCGACUCCAUGAAGUCGGAAUCGCUAGUAAUCGUGGAUCAGAAUGCCACGGUGAAUACGUUCCCGGGCCUUGUACACACCGCCCGUCACACCAUGGGAGUGGGUUGCAAAAGAAGUAGGUAGCUUAACCUUCGGGAGGGCGCUUACCACUUUGUGAUUCAUGACUGGGGUGAAGUCGUAACAAGGUAACCGUAGGG
rnacentral:rRNA from 1 species